rnacentral:lncRNA from 9 species
UGCCCUUCUGUGGAGCAUCCUCCUCGCUUAGAGCAGGUUGCCAGGAGGGGCGCCGCCGCUCAGUUCCCGCACCCGUCCCAUGCCUUGCAGUGGAGCGGAGAUGGGCAAACGAGCCUGUGCCUGUGGCCAGCGGUGUGCACGGUGGCCAGGAGCACAGUUCUGGUGCCUGGUAACUUGACAAAUUCGGGUCCUAAUUCCCUCCUUCCUACCUGAGGCCCUACACGUUCUGAACGGCUGUCUCCUCCCCUGGAAGCAGGGAGAAUACUGCAGAGCUGGCACAGGCCCUGGGAGCGAAUGGCUGGCAGUUGCCCAGGGAGUGUGGGGCUGCUCCUCUCCGCCUUGUGUCCUGGUUGGUCCCCAGCCUGUGCGCCGCACCCCUCUGGAUGGAGGGUCAUGUGGUGGGGUGGGGGCACCUUUUCUGACUCCAGCCACGUCUUCCUGAGCCUCGUUUCUAAGCAGUGGAAACCGGGCAGGAGGGUCAAGGAAGGCAGGAAGUGAAUCAUCACCAAUUCUCUCAGUGUUGCUGGAACAAAUGUGGGAGGGAAGCCAUGCCCCCGCCUGCCCACUGCCACUCGAACAGCCACUGGGCAGCAUGAAGCACUUGGCUGGCUGCUUGGUGGAGAGUGGGAAGAUGGCAAGGCCAAGAUGGCCAGCGAGAGCCAGCUGGGCAGUGGUGGCAGGAGAGCCGCGGUGAAGAGUCCUGAUGUUCUGCACAGCUUUGUGUGUGCCUGGCGCCCAGAGCCCACUGGAUGGGAGCUGUCUCUUCCCCUCGCUCGCCCGCCCCCGGAUGGCAUCCCUCCAGCCCUACAGAAGCCUGGAACUGCUCGUCAAGAGAAGCCGAGCUUCCAGAGGGCAGCAGGGCGCCCGAAGGUACCCCGUGGAAGUAGAAAGAGCCCUGGAGCUGGGGUGAGCAGGUCUGGCUAAGCGCUGCCACCUCAGCAGCAUGACCUUGGGCAAACCUCUGCCUUCUCGGGCCCUUCACGUCCUUCCUCAUUUGAACUUCGGUGAUGGAUGCUCUUUUCUCUUUUAAACACUUCGCACAGCUCGAGCAUUGUUUGAUUUCACUGGAGAAAAUGACAGUCCUUGAUCCAGGGCCUCAUGCUAUGUGCCUGGCCCUGUGCAGAUUCCCCGAAUCGAGCUCCGUUCCCAGAGCUUGGGGCACAGAAAGGCAGGGAGAGUCAGGGCAGGCGUCCCAGAGGAGGUGGCUCUGCACUGCGCCGUGAGGGACGAGGGGUGAAAACCACUGGCAGCAAGAGGAGCACGCACUGUUCUGGAUCACCUGAAAGUGCCAAAGGGACAAAAGGAACCUGGCUCAUUUCCGGGCACCUGGGAGCCCCAGGAAGUCUGGUGUUGCUGUCGGGAGGUGCGUGAAGGUGGGAAGUGAGACUACAGAGCUAAGAAGCCAAGGACAGAUGGUAGAGGGCCUUGCACGGCAUGCCAAGGAGCUUGGGCUUUGUCCUGUAGGCAGCACAGGUUGCCGACAGAGGUUCUUUAGAAGUGAGAUUGCUCUCUUUUUUCCCUCUUUUUUUAAAAAAUUAAAAUACGGUUCAUUUGCAAUGUUGUGCCAGUUUUAGAAAUGGGAUCGCAUAAUCCGACGGUUCCUUGGGACCCCCACCCACAUCUCGGAUGACCCGGAGGCCUGGAGACCAGUUAGGAUGCUAGAGCACAAGCGACGGUCCGGACAAAGGACAAGGGCCCUCUGGUGGAUGAGGAUCUCCACUUCCUGCUACUCACGCCCUGUGUCACCCCUUCCCCUGGAAGCCAGCUGCCAUGUCGUGAACUGUCGCGUGGAGAGGCCCAGAUGGCAAAGAACUGAUGUCUCUGGUCAAAAGCCAGCUGAGGACCAGAGGCCUGUUUGCGGCCACUGGAGCGAGCUGGGAAGUGGAUCUUCUGAGGCAGGCCGGCAACAACCAUAUCAGUGACCCCAGAAGCAGAUCCUAGCCCAGUGGCUCCUUGAGACACCUGUACUCCCAACAACACCUUGACUCCAGCCAGCUGAGCCCAGCCUGGAUUCUUAGUGACGGAAACGGUGAAUGAUUGGUGUUUGUUGUUUUAUAUGCUGCUAACAUUUAGGGUGAUUCCUUAUAUAGCCAUGGAUAAGGAACAACAAGCCCCAUCUAAGGCAAUGAGAAUGAAGAACAGAUUGAUUCCAGAAAUGUUAGGAAGCUGGCGGAGGGGUGGGGAGCUUAGAAAUCUCUAGGCAGACAUGGGGGCUGUUGAAUUGAGAUGGCCAAUAGAAUAGAAGGUGUUGGUUUGGGGAGGAAAAUGAUGAGGUAGUUUGUUCCAUUCAGUGUUUGAGGGACCGGGGGACAACACACCAGUAAGUAUGCUCCAGAGGCAGUCGGAUCCAGAGGCCCACCUGCCCAGGAGGCCCAGUCUGAGGCCCAGGAAAAUGACUGACCUUUUGGGAAUAUCAAUGGAGGGUCAGCUCAGAAAGUGCAGAGACCACGUCUAGAACUCUGGAGAUGUUCAGUAGUUAAGAGACUGUUCUUUAUCAUCAAACAAGUACUGGUCUGUGUGUGUGUGUAUGAUCUAUCUUCUCCCAAGCCCAUUCUAAAAUACUUUGCUUUCUGGAAAUCCCGUUGUGGCUCAGCGGAAAAGAAUCUGACUAGCAUCCAUGAGGAUGCAGGUUCGAUCCCUGGCCUCGCUCAGUGGGUUAAGGAUCUGGCGUUGCCAUGACCUGAGGUAUAGGUUGCAGACGCAGCGUGGAUCCCUCGUUGCUGUGGCUGCAGCGUAGGCCAGCGGCUACAGCUCUGAUUCGACCCCUAGCCUGGAAACUUCCACAUGCCACAGGUGUGGCCCUAAAGAGCAAAAAAGAAACAACCCCUCCCCCCGCAAAAAAAGCUUCGCUUUGCAGCCAUAUUUGCAUCCCAGUUUUACCUCACUAAAGACUCCAAACAUGAGUGAAUCCCCUUUCAGGUCUAACUGAGCCCUCUCCCAAUGCCAAGUUCCAGGUGGGAGACUGCUAAGCAAAUCUGCUGUUGCUUUGCACUGCUUGUAAUUAUCGGCAACAUCUCUGGAGUUUAUAUGUUGUUUACACACUCAGUCUAAUUUAUACUUUGCAAAGAAAUCAUGUAAAGUAACAUAGCAGGAGAGCUUUUUACAGUAAGAAAUGCAGUACAUGGAAAGUUGAGAAGAUGUCAAGUUGACCGGGAGAUCUUUUUCAGGGCUUGGCGGUGGUGAGAGUGUUUCUAGCUAACCUGCAGAAUGUAAACAGAGCCUGCAGACAGACUGAAAGACAGCUCUAUCAGCUCUGCUGGAGGUGUUGACACUACUAUCCUACCCAGGGUGUGAGUACAGAAGCUUGUUACCAUUCCAGUGUUGCUGAACUGCUUAGGGCUUUUGACAUUACAGAUAUCCUGAUUCUUGCACAUAGAGACUAGUAGAAGAAUCUUAAAGUUAGAAGGCACCUUAGAGGUCUUUUUAGAAUAGAGGGCAUACAGAAAAGGAGACCAAAGAUAAAAUGAAAAGACAACCUAUGGACUGGGAGAAAAUAUGACCAACAAGGGAUUAAUCUUCAAAGUAUACAAACAGCUCACACAAAAAACAAACAACCCAAUCAAAAAAAUGGACAGAAGACCUAAAUAGACGUUUCUCUAAAGAAGACAUACGGAUGGCCAACAGGUACAUGAAAAGAUGCUCAACAUUGCUAAUUAUUAGAGAAAUGCAAACCAAAACUAUAAUGAGCUAUCACCUCACACCAAUCAGAAUGGCCAUCCUUAAAAACUCUACACAUAAUAAAUGCUAGAGAGGGUGUGGUGAAAAGGGAACCCUCCUACACUGUUGGUGGGAAUGUAAGCUGAUGCAGCCACUAUGGAAAACAGCGUGGACUCCUAAAAAUAGGGGGUUCCCAUCAUGGCUCAGCGGAAAUGAAUCUGACGAGUAUCCACGAGGACACAGAUUGAAUCCCUAGCCUUGCUCAGUGGGUUAAGGAUCCAGCGUUGCCUUGAGCUGUAGUGUAGGUCACAGACGUGGCUCAGAUCCCACAUUGCUGUGUCUGUGAAGUAGACUGCCAGGUAGAGCUUCAAUUCAACCCCUAGCCUGGGAACUUCUAUAUGCUGCAGGUGAGGCCCUAAAAAGACAACAACAACAACAAAACUAAAAAUAAAAUUACCAUUUGACCCAACAAUCCCACUCUUCGGCAUAUGUCUAGAGAAAACUCUAAUUUGAAAAGAUACAUGCAAGCCAAUGUUCAUUGCAACACUAUUUACAAUAGCCAAAACAUGGAUGCUACCUAAGUGUCCAUCAAAAGAUGAAUGAAUAAAGAAGAUAUGAUACACAUAUACAAUGGAAUAUUACAGCCAUACAACAGAAUGAAAUAAUGCCAUUUGCAGCAACAUGGAUGAACCUAGAGAUUAUCAUGCUAAGUGAAGUAAAUCAGACAAACAUAUAAUAUAUCACUUAUAUGUGUAAUCUUAAAAAAAUGAUACAAAUGAACUUAUUUAUAAAACAGAAAUAGACUCAUGGACUUCCAAAACACACUUAUGCUUACAAAAAGGAAAAUGUGGGGGGGAAGGGAUGGAUUGGGAGUUUGGAAUUGGCAUAAACACUCUAUUGUAUACGGAAUAGAUGGUCAAUGGGGACCUGCUAGCACAGAGAACUCUAUCCAAUAUUCUGUAAUAACCUAUAUGGGAAAAGAAUCUGAAAAAAAUGGGUAUGUGUAUAUGUAUAACUGAAUCACAUUGUUAUACAGCAAAAAUUAUCACAGCCUUGUAAUUCAGCUAUAAUUUAAUAAAACGUUUUUGGAAUUUUUUUAAAAGAACGGAAUAAUGCCAUUUGCUGCAACAUGGAUGGACCUAGAGACUGUCAUAUUAAGCGAAGUCAGAAAAAGACAAAUAUCAUAUGAUAUCACUUACGUGGAAUCCAAAAAAAUGGAUAUAAAUGAACUUAUUUGCAAAACAGAAAUAGAGUCAGAGACAUAGAAAACAAACUUAUGGUUACCAGAGGGGAUAGCAGGGGAAAGGGGAGACAAGUAAGAGUUGGGAAUAAACCAAAACCAGACAAAGAUACUACCAAAAAAGAAAAUUAUAGGCCAAUAUCUUUGAUGAAUAUAGAUGCAAAUAUUCUCAACAAAAUUUUAGCCAACUGAAUCCAACAACAUAUAAAAAAGAUCAUACACCAUGACCAAGUGGGAUUCGUUACCACUGCACCACAACGGGAACUCCUUGAAGUCCUUUUUUAACACCUUCAUGUUUGUCCUUUUACUGUUCCUUGUGUUUAAUAGUCACUUUUGCAAUAGUGAUUCCCUUUUAGAUUUGUAUACGGGCUUAUUUAAGUGAUUGCGAUUUCCUCCAUCCUGUUUCUUCUUACUUCUUUUUUAUUUAGAGAAAUCCUUUCAGUAUUUCUUUUAGAAUGGGUUUUGUAUUGCUGUACUCUUUUAGUUUUUCUUUGUUGGAGAAAUUCUUUAUUUCUCCUUCUAUUUUAAAUGAUAUUCUUGCUGGAUAGAGUAUUCUAGGCUGCAAAGUUUUCCCUUUUAGAAUUUCGAAUAUAUCUUGCCACUCUUUUCUGGCCUGUAGAGAAAUCAGCUGAUAGCUUUAUGGGGGUUCCCUUAUAAUUAAUGCAUUAUUUUUCUCUCACUGCCUUUAGAAUCCUCUCUUUAUCUCUUACUUUUGCCAUUUCUAUUAUAGUAUGCCUUGGGGUAGGCCUAUUUGUGUUCAACUUGUUUGGGGCCCU